rnacentral:rRNA from 1 species
CGCGUAGGUGGUUUGGUAAGCGAGAUGUGAAAGCCCCGGGCUUAACCUGGGAACAGCAUUUCGAACUGUCAGACUAGAGUGUGGUAGAGGGUAGUGGAAUUUCCUGUGUAGCGGUGAAAUGCGUAGAUAUAGGAAGGAACACCAGUGGCGAAGGCGGCUACCUGGACCAACACUGACACUGAGGUGCGAAAGCGUGGGGAGCAAACA